AUUGAACGCUGGCGGCAUGCUUUACACAUGCAAGUCGAACGGCAGCGCGGGCUUCGGCCUGGCGGCGAGUGGCGAACGGGUGAGUAAUACAUCGGAACGUGCCCAGUAGUGGGGGAUAGCUCGGCGAAAGCCGGAUUAAUACCGCAUACGACCUGAGGGCGAAAGCGGGGGAUCUUCGGACCUCGCGCUAUUGGAGCGGCCGAUGGCAGAUUAGCUAGUUGGUGGGGUAAAGGCCUACCAAGGCGACGAUCUGUAGCUGGUCUGAGAGGACGACCAGCCACACUGGGACUGAGACACGGCCCAGACUCCUACGGGAGGCAGCAGUGGGGAAUUUUGGACAAUGGGCGAAAGCCUGAUCCAGCAAUGCCGCGUGUGUGAUGAAGGCCUUCGGGUUGUAAAGCACUUUUGGCGGGAACGAAAAGGACUGUGCCAAUACCACGGUUCGAUGACGGUACCCGCAGAAUAAGCACCGGCUAACUACGUG
rnacentral:rRNA from 1 species